GAUGAACGCUGCGGCGUGCCUAAUACAUGCAAGUCGAGCGAAUGGAUUGAGAGCUUGCUCUUAUGAAGUUAGCGGCGGACGGGUGAGUAACACAUGGGUAACCUGCCCAUAAGACUGGGAUAACUCCGGGAAACCGGGGCUAAUACCGGAUAACAUUUUGAACCGCAUGGUUCGAAAUUGAAAGGCGGCUUCGGCUGUCACUUAUGGAUGGACCCGCGUCGCAUUAGCUAGUUGGUGAGGUAACGGCUCACCAAGGCAACGAUGCGUAGCCGACCUGAGAGGGUGAUCGGCCACACUGGGAAUGAGACACGGCCCAGACUCCUACGGGAGGCAGCAGUAGGGAAUCUUCCGCAAUGGACGAAGGUCUGACGGAGCAACGCCGCGUGAGUGAUGAAGGCUUUCGGGUCGUAAAACUCUGUUGUUAGGGAAGAACAAGUGCUAGUUGAAUAAGCUGGCACCUUGACGGUACCUAACCAGAAAGCCACGGCUAACUACGUGCCAGCCGCCGCCGUAA
rnacentral:rRNA from 1 species